rnacentral:rRNA from 1 species
CUACGGGAGGCUGCAGUGAGGAAUUUUGCGCAAUGGGGGAAACCCUGACGCAGCAACGCCGCGUGAGCGAAGAAGGCCUUCGGGUCGUAAAGCUCUGUCAAGUGGGAAAAAAAUUCUUUGAUGAACAGUCAAAGGACUUGAUGGUACCACUGGAGGAAGCACCGGCGAACUCCGUGCCAGCAGCCGCGGUAAUACGGAGGGUGCAAGCGUUGUUCGGAAUUACUGGGCGUAAAGAGCGUGUAGGCGGUUUGACAAGUCAGAUGUGAAAGCCCCGGGCUCAACCCGGGAAGUGCAUUUGAAACUGUUUCACUAGAGUAUGGGAGAGGAGAUUAGAAUUCCUGGUGUGGAGGUGAAAUUCGUAGAUAUCAGGAGGAACACCCGUGGCGAAGGCGAUUCUCUGGACCAAUGCUGACGCUGAGACGCGAAAGCGUGGGGAGCAAACAGGAUUAGAUACCCGAGUAGUC